rnacentral:rRNA from 1 species
UACAGAGGGUGCAAGCGUUGUUCGGAAUUACUGGGCGUAAAGCGUGUGUAGGCGGUCUCAUAAGUCGGAUGUGAAAGCCCCGGGCUCAACCCGGGAAGUGCAUUCGAAACUGCGAGGCUAGAGUAUCGGAGAGGUUGGUGGAAUUCUCGGUGUAGAGGUGAAAUUCGUAGAUAUCGAGAGGAACACCGGUGGCGAAGGCGGCCAACUGGACGAAUACUGACGCUGAGACACGAAAGCGUGGGGAGCAAACAGG